GACAGACAGACAGACAGACAGACAGACAGACAGACAGACAGACAGACAGACAGACAGACAGACAGACAGACAGACAGACAGACAGACAGACAGACAGACAGACAGACAGACAGACAGACAGACAGACAGACAGACAGACAGACAGACAGACAGACAGACAGACAGACAGACAGACAGACAGACAGACAGACAGACAGACAGACUUUCUUAAAGGCCAAACAACACAACUCUUCACACAAAACACAUCACAAAAUGAGCAACACUUUAAUAAGAAUAUAAAUACAUUAAAUUAAAACACGACACCAAUGACAUACGGAGGCAGAAUCCUGUCCGUGCACCUUGGAGGCAGGUCCACUAGUAACACCUGGCAGGUCCACUAGUAACACCUGGCAGGUCCACUAGUUACACCUGGCAGGUCCACUAGUAACACCUGGCAGGUCCACUAGUAACACCUGGCAGGUCCACUAGAGAACACAUGGCAGGUCCACUAGUAACACCUGGCAGGUCCACAAGUUACACCUGGCAGAUCCACUAGCAGGUCCACUAGAGAACUUCUGGCAGGUCCACUAGAGAACACCUGGCAGGUCCACUAGAGAACACAGACAACUAAAGUUCCUCUUCACUUUUCUAGGUGGAAAAGAGAUAAACGGUCCAGGGAAGAGCAGC